ensembl:lncRNA
AAACACCGGACAUUAUGAUACAGACUUAUAAUUUGCACCGAUGUUUUUUCGAAAUUCUAUACACGAAAACUGAGCGCGAGAGCCCUCGGUGCGCCUGCUGCUUGCGGCACAGGGAGGAGAGGGCGAGGCGGCGGGGGAUUCUCUGGCUGGCUGGAGCAGCAUCUAAUAACCAACUCGCAAAAUAAAACAAAAUAAAAACAAAACAACAAACACGAAAACACCGGACAUUAUGAUACAGACUUAUAAUUUGCACCGAUGUUUUUUCGAAAUUCUAUACACGAAAACUGAGCGCGAGAGCCCUCGGUGCGCCUGCGCGCUGCUGAAGUCAAAGUAAACUUUAUUGUCAUCUCCGCUACAUACAGUCCAGUAUAUAGAGAGACGAGACGACGAGGCUCCAGUUACAGCAGUGCAAAUAAACGAACAAUAAAUAUAGUAGAGUAAGAAAAUAAAUAUACACUUUAGGACUCGGGGUAACGGGAUCAAUAACAAUUUAAAAUUUAUAAUUUACAGUUUGAUGAUUUAAAGUCUCACACAUAACCCGUCGAAAGGGGAGGGAGACCUGCUGCUUCCAAAUAGAGCACAUUUCAUUCAUAAUGUUGUAAAUCCAAGCCCAUUAUGUAUUCAUGAUUUGAAUCCUGGGUUGUGUGAAAUCCCAGAAAUACACCCUAGACAAAGUUAAUCUGUGAACUAAGGUGUAGGUCUAUUAGGUUAUGUUGUGGUGAUCCUCUGGUUGAGGGAUGGGUGUUCAUACUGGAGUGCAAAAUUAAAACCAAUGGAAGAUGGACAAGAAAAGUUCAAAGCCAUCAGGUGCUCAGUUUAGAAAAAAGAGAAAAGAAGAGGAGAAGAAACGAACAAAUGAUACAGGUAAACAGAUGUGUCAUUGGAUAAUGGCAGGUCAUCCUGAAACAAUCAGAAUCACAAUACUUUAUUAAUCCCUAAGGAAAUAAUGUGGGUUACAGUUGCCCCAAGAAGAAAUGGUAAAAAUAGUAACAGUAACAGACUAAACUCCAAACAAUACAUUAUGUUACAGAUUUUAAUAUUAAUUAGUCAUUGUCAAUUGUUGAUUUGUCCUGUUCUCAUUGUAUGACGAAUUAUGAUGGCUGUUUGGUAGCCGUUUGCAAACUAUGCAUACUCUCUCUCUCUCUUCAUAUGUGUGUGUGGACAACAGUUUUAUGUUAAUGUACAAUCCUUAACAUGUUUUGUGUUCGCCCAGGGCGCCAGAGGGAGUGUUCGCCCAGGGCGCCAAACAGGCUAGGACCGCCACUGCAACACAUACACACACACAGUGGCAUGUGCAAAUGCAUCCACGCACACACUGAGUUAUUCAGGUGUAUGAAUUGCAGCAUAAAACCUGCUGCAUAAUUUGCAGCAUGAAUUUUUUUUUUUUAAACUGAAGUCAGCAUAAGGUCACACUUUUUUAUUUAUUUAAAAGCUUGCAGCUUGCAGCCGGCCACAGAGCCACCCUUCCUGAUCAGUUUAGCCAGUCUGUUGGUGUCACUUGGAUCAAUAGGACUGUGUUGCAAUAAAAACAGACACCAUGAAGGUUCUAAUGUCAAGCUUCUGCUACACCUGUUUUAGAGCAGUCGUUCUGUUAUUAUAGAGUUGAUAUAAAUCAUAGUAAAAUAAUCACCUCUAUACCUAUUAGAAUAAUAAUAAUAAAACAAAUUCAUAAAAAUGACCAUAAUAUUACAGCCUCUUGAAAUAUAUUAAAUGUGCAUUAUAUCAUUGACAGUAACAGAACAGUUAAUAGACUGCAUGAGCUGGAGCCUAAAUCCAUUUACCUUUGAAUAUCCUCAUGUUUUCUUUUCUGUGUAAUGGAUUUUUUAUUUAAUUUGAAGUCAAUUUGAUUUGUUAGGGGUUUUUUUUGUUUGUUUUUUAAAUACACCAGUGAAGUGCUAACUUGAACCCUCAUGAAAGCUCUUCAGGGAAAGAAUGGAAUUGGCUGAUCUUUGUAUGGCAUUUAAAUUUCAUAUUGAAUGUCACAUCUUGUUAAAAAAAAAAAAAAAAACCCAAGAAGAUAAUGUAAUUAUACUGACAGGAUGAUGAUGUUUGUUCCUAUCAGCUCCUAGACUCUCAGAUUGUGCACCAGAGUGUUGUGACUCCAGAGAACAAAUUCAAUAAAUGCAAUUAAAAGCAAAUAUUGAAUUAAAUCUACAGCAAGAAAGGCCUCACUUACCAGCCUGAAAAUUCUCAUAAUGCUAAAGGGCUGCUAGUUUUUCAGUGUGAGAAUCAUGUCAAAUACAGCGGUGGUGGUAAAAGACAGAAGACUGCUGUGGCUAUCAUCAGUCUAGCUGCUAGUCGUAUGGGCCCGAUGCUCACAUCUAUCUGACUGAAUUAAUAUUGAAUGUAGCUACAUGACACAUCAAUGUGUCUGCAGCUCAUUAUGGGAGUGUCACGAGUUGGACAAAUAUUAUCUUUUUUGGUGAUUGCUGUGAGUCAUCUUUUUAGCCAAAUGAAUAUUGAUAAGAUUAGUGAAUCCUGACUAACAAGCUCUUUCAGUGCAUUAAAGCACCUUGUUAAAUCACCAGUGAAGCACCAGGAGGAGUAAAAGGGUUUAUUUUAUUUUAUUGUAUUAUUAUUUUUUAAAUAUUAAUGCUAUACAUGCAGUAUGUGCUUUCUAUUGGCCUGUAGUGAUUCUACUUAAUGCUUUUGCAUGACCUUGUAAUUAUAUUAUUGCAUUUAAAUAAGAUUCAUAAAAUGCAUUCUUCUUUUUUUUUAUUUCCACAGCUAAACAAUCCUUAUUAACGGCAGUUAAUUUGAAUUAUUCUGGACAUAGAUGUCAAUGCCACUCUUUUUUAAGAGAAGGCCUUUUAUAACCAACUUUUGUCUUUCUACAGUAGUUAUACC